rnacentral:lncRNA from 12 species
UAGUCAGACUGUGAUUAUUCCUUGCCUUUUUUAAAUUCUGAGACCUAUAUAAAUAUCUUAGGGAAAGGUGUUCAGGAAAUAAUGAGCUUUAUUCCUCAAGCCCUAGCUAUACCUCAGAUGGUGCUACCUGUACGUUAAUGCAAGGUUCAUAAAAAGUAUUAAUCUGAUAGCAAAGCAGUCUAUAACUAAACAUUAUUCCUUCAGCAGCAAUUAAAGCACCAUCAGAGAACCUCGUUAGUCUGGCUCCAGCAGCUCUGACUGAGGAAUGACUAACCAUGUCACUUCUGGCAUUCAUUUCCUCUCUGCCCACUGAGAUUAUAUAUUACUUUAAGGUGACUGACAGGAUAAAUUAAGGGAGCUGCAGACCUUAGGAAGAGGCAAAACAGAAGGCUGUCAGUAUGACUCGGGUGAUUCUUCAAGAAAUUAUCAACUCUCGCUUCAUCUCUCAAACAAUUCUUCACUGCACACUGAAGAAUCCCAUAGCAGGUAUUGCUAAUUCAUCCUGCAAUCAG